rnacentral:rRNA from 1 species
UACGUAGGGGGCAAGCGUUGUCCGGAAUUAUUGGGCGUAAAGAGCGCGUAGGCGGUCCGGUAAGUCGGCUGUGAAAGUCAAGGGCUCAACCCUUGAAAGCCGGCCGAUACUGUCGGACUAGAGUCCGGAAGAGGCGAGUGGAAUUCCCGGUGUAGCGGUGAAAUGCGCAGAUAUCGGGAAGAACACCCGUGGCGAAGGCGGUUCUCUGGGACGGUACUGACGCUGAGACGCGAAAGCGUGGGGAGCGAACAGG